GCGGAGGAAAAGAAACUAACAAGGAUUCCCCUAGUAACGGCGAGUGAAGCGGGAAGAGCUCAAAUUUGAAAUCUGGUAGCCUUCGGUUGCCCGAGUUGUAAUCUAGAGAAGUGUUUUCCGUGCCGGCCCAUGUACAAGUCCCUUGGAACAGGGCGUCAUAGAGGGUGAGAAUCCCGUCCUUGACAUGGACCCCCGGUGCUUUGUGAUACACUUUCAACGAGUCGAGUUGUUUGGGAAUGCAGCUCAAAAUGGGUGGUGAAUUCCAUCUAAAGCUAAAUAUUGGCGAGAGACCGAUAGCGAACAAGUACCGUGAGGGAAAGAUGAAAAGCACUUUGGAAAGAGAGUUAAACAGUACGUGAAAUUGUUGAAAGGGAAACGAUUGAAGUCAGUCAUGCUCUUGGGACUUACCUCCCUUGAGUGGGGUCAACAUCAGUUUUGAUCGAUGGAUAAAGGCACGGGGAAGGUAGCACUCUCGGGUGAACUUAUAGCCUCGCGUCAUAUACAUUGAUUGGGACUGAGGAACGCAGCAUGCCUUAUGGCCGGGAUUCGUCCACGUACAUGCUUAGGAUGUUGACAUAAUGGCUUUAAACGACCCGUCUUGAAAC
rnacentral:rRNA from 1 species